AAAUUGUUAUUACAAUUUUAGAAAUUAAGGGGGCUGCUAUCUCUCUGAUUGUUUGCUACGUAUUGUUUUAUAAACAAGUCGCAAAGUAAACUGCGGGCAAUGCAGAAUAUUGGUGAAGGUGAAUAACUUCCUAUAAGUUACAUAAGCUCUAAGAGAAAUCUAAUCUCUAAACGAAGUGAAUUGAAAUAUCUUAGUAACUUCAGGAAAAUAAAUCAAAAGAGAUUCUAUGAAUAACGUGAGUGAAAGUAGAGUAGCCUAUAAAGUAGAACGGUACAAAAACUGUUUGAAUAAAAUGGGGAACCUUCCUCAAAGGCUAAAUAUGAUACAUGAGCGAUAGUGAAAAGUACCAUGAGGGAACUAAACGAAAAUAGUAGUUUUAUAAGCAGUUCGAUAAAAAGAACGUACCUUUUGCAUAAUGGGUCACCAAGUUAACGUUAGAUGCGAGUAUAUGCGUAGUUAAACCGGACGUUAAAAUAACGAAACAGUGUCUAAAGUUAGACCCGAAGCACGGUGAUUUUACCAUAGUCAGGAUUAUAAAAGUCCGAACGGGUGAUUGUAGCAUAAAUCUCCGAAGAACUGUGGUAGGUGUAGUGAAAGACAACACUGACUGUGAUAGCUGGUAAAGAAUAAAGAUGUAAGCAAUCUUUAAAUAGCCAGUAUGUAGAAAUGAACUUUCUGCAAUAAACCAUCAAAUUGACGGGAAAACCCUAAAGCAAUCUAGACCAAGCAAAUGUGGUAACAUCUUUGUGGCACAGGUAAUGACUCGUGGUAUGGUAAAACAUAGAUUGAUAUACGUAAGUAUAAUGGGAGAUCCGCAGCCAAGCACCUUUAAUAAGGUGUGCAGUUCAUCGACUAAAUGUUGGUUGGCUUAUAGUUAUAGUUAUAUAAUUGUUGGCUUAAGAUAUAGUCAGACCUUACCCGAAAGGGUACAGAAUAAUAAAUACGAAAUUAAACUUUAUAGAUUCUUAUGUAUAAGGUUUUAUGGCUGCGCAAGCUAAAGCUCGAUAAGUAUGAAUAGUAAUUAAGGCGCAAGCUCAUAAAAAGAUUUGCGGCUUCUAAUAAAAAAAAAUUCUUUUUUUAUAAGCAUUGCUUCUUAUUAUCUCUUAACAGAGGUAACUUUUAGGUUACACAUUUUAUUAUUAGCCUUAAGAGGCUUUAAAUAAAAGUAAUUAGUUAUUUAAAGAUAUAUAUUCAGUGGCCAAAGGCCCAGCACUAUGAAAAAAAGAUAUUAUACUACAGGUAUAACACCUGCAAUUACAUAUAAAAAUUGUGAUCAGAAUAAAAUUCAAAUAUUAAAUGAUAAUAGAAAUAAAGGAGGUAUAUAUUGCUGGAUUAAUAAUAUUAAUAAUAAAAUCUACGUAGGUAGCUCCAUAAAUUUAACUAAUAGAUUUUAUAAAUAUUAUAGUAUUAAGCACUUAACUUUGCGUAAAACACCUAUUCACAAUGCUCUUUUAAAGUAUGGAUAUAGUAACUUUACUUUAAUAUUAGAAUAUAUUACUGAUAAAGAACAAGUUAUAAAAAGAGAACAAUACUAUCUAGACUUUUUAAAACCACAAUAUAACAUAUUAGCAAAAGCAAAUUCUUUUCUAGGUUAUAAACAUACAGAAGAAACUUUAAAGUUUUUUAGAGAAGGACGUAUACUUAAUGAGGAAGCUAGAAAUAAAUUAUCUAUUGCAGCGUGCUUCGCCAAGGAAGAAUAUUACCACAAGUAAUUAGAGAUAAAAUAUCUACUAAGCGAAAAGGUAUAAAACUUUCAGAAGAAACACGUGCAAAGAUGGCUAAAUCAGCUAUAAGCCUUAUAGGUGUAAAGGUCGACGUUAUUAAUACUGAUACUAAGGAAAAAUUAUCUUUUGAUAAUUUAACAGCAGCAGCUAAACAUAUAGGUGUUACUAGACCAGCAGUAGCUAAAGCUUUAAAAAGUGGAAAAUUAAUAAAAAAUAUUUUCAUCAUUAAAGCAAAGUAGUAUUUAUUAUUUGCUAAAGGGAUAAUAAAGUAUAUAUAGGUAUACUUAUUAUUUAGGGAGAAGGACUUCAGCUUUACCGAGAGGUAAAAGAAGUAGAUUUGUUUCUGCGAAACCUAUAAUAGUAGGCAAUUUAAGUAAAUAUCUUAGCAGGUACAUAAUUUAAUCUCAGACAAGAUGUGUAAACGUUUUAUUUUGUACAAAUUGGGGGAUCAUGAAGAUUUUAUCAGUGAGUAUGUAGACUCGAAAUGGCAAAGAUAUAUCUUGAAUUAUCAGACAUAGAAUGAUAAGGUUGUAUGUCAAAAGGGAAACAGCCCAGAACAAGAGUUAAGGUUCCUAAAUUAUUAGUUGAGUGAAAUUAAGAAGGUUUUUAUUAAAGUCGACAAGGAGAUAGGCUUAGAAGCAGCCAUAAUUUUAUGACCUCGUAACAGAGCGCUUGUUAAGCUAUAGAAGCAUCGAAAAUUUAACGGAUCUAAACAAUAUACCGAAACCUUGUGCAUGAACGUUUCAUAGGAGAUUACUUACAUAAACACAAUUACAAUCAGAGGGUGAGUUGUGUUAAAGACACUACGACAAUCAUAGUUGUGUAAAUAAAGAUUUUAUGUAAUUAGUUCUAUUAAAAUCAUUUAAUGAAAAAGUUCUAUUAAUAACAUCUAAUACUAGUAUUAAUACUCAACAGUUAUAGUAUUAAUUUUCAACACAGUUAUAAUUGUAUUAAUUCUUGAGUUAUAAUAUUAUUAAUGCUUUUCUAAUAAUAAUUAUGCUCUUCUAAUAGUAUUAAUACUGAACAGUUAUAAUAGUAUUGAUGCUCAACAGUUCUAGUAUUAAUAUUUAAUAGAAUUAGUUCUAUUAACAAUAUUUAAUACAGGCGCAAGCUCAGUUUAAAUAUCGUUAAAUGUAUUUACAAUAUAAUAUGUCUAAUUUAAAUGUAUUAGAAUAUACUUAAAUGUUAGUAGAUAGGGCGUUUGGGGUAGCAGAACGUUGAGUAAAUAAUGAAUUUUAUUUUUUUUAAUAGAAUUAUAAUAAUUUAACUCAAGUGAGAAUGGUGACAUGAGUAACUAAAAGAAAAUUUUCCGCCUUAAGCUUAUGGAUAUAAUUAAGUAACGGCCUCUAAGUUUAUAUUAUCUAAAGAUUUAAACGAUGAGAAAAUCUUUUUUACUAAGGACAACAUUUUAGUGUAAAAUGUGCUGGAAAAAUAGUAAAUAUAUUUGCGGGGCUCCGCCCACUAAUAACAAAAUAUAUUUGUUAUCUAAGAAUAAAUGAAUAAAACCGUACCUAGAAUCUGAAAAAAGUAAGCUAGUAGAGAAUACGAAGGCGUAAAUGAGCUAACAAUCAUAAAGGAACUCGGCAAAUUGACUACCGUAACUUCGGAAUAAGGAGGGCUCAAUUCUUGAUUAAUAUCAAGUAAAAAGGAAGAAGCAUAAAAUGAUGUUGUACGACUGUUUAAUUAAAACACAGCACUUUGCUGAAAGAUAAAAAAUCUAAGUAUAAAGUGUGAAAUCUGCCCGGUGCCGGCUUUGGUUAACAGAGAUAAUUAAAUAUACUAUUAUUUGAUGUCGACGGAAACCCCGGUUAAAGGCGGCCUUAACGUGAGGGUCCUAAGGUAGCGAAAUGCCUUGGCCGUUAAAUGCGGUCUUGCAUGAAUGGUGUAACGAUACAACAGCUGUCUCUAUGAUUGACUCAGUGAAAUUGGAAUAGCUGUGCAGAUACAGCUUACCUCUAGUUAGACGAGAAGACCCUAUGCAGCUUUACUGUCACUAAUUAUAGAGUAUGUUAGAGAAUUUUCAGAUUAUAAGGUAAUUGACAAUGUGACAAUGAGAAUCCUUUAUUUAUCUUUCAUAUGAAUGAAUUGGUUUAGGAUUAUAAAAAAGUUAUGUUUAAUCUGGCUUUACUGAGUCGUUUAAAAAGAUUAAUUAUAGAAACAAUAUAAUUUAUAAUAGUAAAUCAACCUAAUUCAGUUUACUAUUUUUAAUAGUAAGUGACCUUUGGUAAGGAACUAUCGCUAGGAGACAGUUUAUGUGGGGCACAGACCCUGUAAAGAGUAAACAGGAGUGUCUAAUAAUUUAUAAUUAUUUUGUUUGCUAUUUUGAGUAGUUUAACUAUUUUUAAUCAUAUAUAAUUAUUUAUAUUUGCGUAUAUUUACGUAAAUAUACUUAAGUUUAAUUUAGGUAGGAUUUUAACUAUGUAGAAAUUAGAGAUAAUUGAAAAUAUUAUGUAAAUUUUAUUAAUAUUAUGUAAUUAUAAGAAGCUUUUAGAUGGAAUUUAGUGGCUUAAAAAAUAUAUUUUUUUUUUUAGCUCACGAUAUAAGAUAUAAAAAUUUUUAUUGUAAUCUAAAAUCUACUCUAGCGCAAACUCUUGUGAAGAUUUAUAUUGUAAUAUAAAAUCUAUUCAGGCGCCAGGCGCAAGCUCUUAUGGAAUUUUGCUAAUAUUCUUCAAAUUUUCUAAUAUUUUAGAGCUGUUUUUUUUUAUCUUGCUGUUGCUUUGCGCUUCGCUAUUUUUUGCGCUGCGCGAAAAUGCUGCUUGAGAAAAAGGAAUAGUUAUGUUUUGAAUAUCUAAAAAGCUCAACGGCUAAAUCUUGCCUUACUGUUUGAUUAUCUACAAAUCUUACAGUUGCGUAAGCAGGGCAUAGGAUCACAAGAUGCAAUAAGGAUAGAUCUUGGAUUAUUGGAAAAGCUACGCUAGGGAUGUUUGUCCUUUAAUAUUUUAUUUUUAGAGUAUAUUUUGUAUCUUUUUUCUUGUACGGCUAGCUAACGCAGUAAGCUAUGCUCAGAAAAAAUAAGAAGCAAGAAAAAAUAUGUUAAAGCUCAUGCUUUAUUAAUUAAUUAUGUCUUAGUUAAUAAAGCAAGGAAUAAAAUUAUUAAUACAUACAGUAAAUAUUAAAGGAAAUCUUAAAUAUAUAGAAUAAAAAUGAAGACAUAGUCUGAACCAUUUUGAAAAAAAUGGAAAUAGUAUAAUAUGAUAACAUAUAGAACAGGCUAAUUUGCGCAAGAGUGUACAAAAUGAGUGCGCGGUUUGGCACCUCGAUGUCGGCUUAACUUAUCCUCAUGGACGCAGGAACUAUGUAGGGUGCGACUGUUCGUCGAUUAAAAAGUUACAUGAGCUGGGUUAAAUACGUCGUGAGACAGUAUGGUUUCUAUCUUCUAGAGGGAAUUAGAAUAAAAUAAGAACAAACUUUUGUACGCAAGGAACAAGAAGAAUUUAACUCAAAAAGUUAAAAGAUGGUUACUAACCUAUGGUUUACCUGUUGUUUAUGUGCCUAAAUAUUAAAUAUAUAUAUGCUUUUGUAUAUAUAUAUCUUUUGUAUUAUUAUACAUAGGGAUGUUUCUUUUACUAAGACAAAUGUAUAGCAUAAGCACGGCAGGAACGCUAAGUUAGUUAAAGAUAAGUGCUGAAAGCAUAUAGGCACGAAACUUAUCUUAAGAUAUUUCUUAAAUAUACGUAACAUACUAUUACGAAACUUAUAGGCUUUAUCCGUAAGAAUCAUGAGAUUUUAAAGAAUAAAGUACUAAUUUAAUAAUUCACUAUUUAUAAAU